GACGAACGCUGGCGGCGUGCUUAACACAUGCAAGUCGAACGGAAAGGCCCUGCUUUUGUGGGGUGCUCGAGAGGCGAACGGGUGAGUAACACGUGAGUAACCUGCCCUUGACUUUGGGAUAACUUCAGGAAACUGGGGCUAAUACCGGAUAGGAGCUCCUGCUGCAUGGUGGGGGUUGGAAAGUUUCGGCGGUUGGGGAUGGACUCGCGGCUUAUCAGCUUGUUGGUGGGGUAGUGGCUUACCAAGGCUUUGACGGGUAGCCGGCCUGAGAGGGUGACCGGCCACAUUGGGACUGAGAUACGGCCCAGACUCCUACGGGAGGCAGCAGUGGGGAAUAUUGCACAAUGGGCGGAAGCCUGAUGCAGCAACGCCGCGUGCGGGAUGACGGCCUUCGGGUUGUAAACCGCUUUCGCCUGUGACGAAGCGUGAGUGACGGUAAUGGGUAAAGAAGCACCGGCUAACUACGUGCCAGCAGCCGCGGUGAUACGUAGGGUGCGAGCGUUGUCCGGAUUUAUUGGGCGUAAAGGGCUCGUAGGUGGUUGAUCGCGUCGGAAGUGUAAUCUUGGGGCUUAACCCUGAGCGUGCUUUCGAUACGGGUUGACUUGAGGAAGGUAGGGGAGAAUGGAAUUCCUGGUGGAGCGGUGGAAUGCGCAGAUAUCAGGAGGAACACCAGUGGCGAAGGCGGUUCUCUGGGCCUUUCCUGACGCUGAGGAGCGAAAGCGUGGGGAGCGAACAGGCUUAGAUACCCUGGUAGUCCACGCUGUAAACGGUGGGUACUAGGUGUGGGGUCCAUUCCACGGGUUCCGUGCCGUAGCUAACGCUUUAAGUACCCCGCCUGGGGAGUACGGCCGCAAGGCUAAAACUCAAAGGAAUUGACGGGGCCCCGCACCAGCGGCGGAGCAUGCGGAUUAAUUCGAUGCAACGCGUAGAACCUUACCUGGGUUUGACAUGGAUCGGGAGUGCUCAGAGAUGGGUGUGCCUCUUUUGGGGUCGGUUCACAGGUGGUGCAUGGCUGUCGUCAGCUCGUGUCGUGAGAUGUUGGGUUAAGUCCCGCAACGAGCGCAACCCUUGUUCACUGUUGCCAGCACGUUAUGGUGGGGACUCAGUGGAGACCGCCGGGGUCAACUCGGAGGAAGGUGGGGAUGACGUCAAGUCAUCAUGCCCCUUAUGUCCAGGGCUUCACGCAUGCUACAAUGGCUGGUACAGAGAGUGGCGAGCCUGUGAGGGUGAGCGAAUCUCGGAAAGCCGGUCUCAGUUCGGAUUGGGGUCUGCAACUCGACCUCAUGAAGUCGGAGUCGCUAGUAAUCGCAGAUCAGCAACGCUGCGGUGAAUACGUUCCCGGGGCU
rnacentral:rRNA from 1 species